rnacentral:rRNA from 1 species
GGAUGAACGCUAGCUACAGGCUUAACACAUGCAAGUCGAGGGGCAGCAUUUUAGUUUGCUUGCAAACUGAAGAUGGCGACCGGCGCACGGGUGAGUAACACGUAUCCAACCUGCCGAUAACUCCGGAAUAGCCUUUCGAAAGAAAGAUUAAUACCGGAUGGCAUACGAAUAUCGCAUGAUAUUUUUAUUAAAGAAUUUCGGUUAUCGAUAGGGAUGCGUUCCAUUAGUUUGUUGGCGGGGUAACGGCCCACCAAGACUACGAUGGAUAGGGGUUCUGAGAGGAAGGUCCCCCACAUUGGAACUGAGACACGGUCCAAACUCCUACGGGAGGCAGCAGUGAGGAAUAUUGGUCAAUGGGCGAGAGCCUGAACCAGCCAAGUAGCGUGAAGGAUGAAGGCUCUAUGGGUCGUAAACUUCUUUUAUAUGGGAAUAAAGUUUUCCACGUGUGGAAUUUUGUAUGUACCAUAUGAAUAAGGAUCGGCUAACUCCGUGCCAGCAGCCGCGGUAAUACGGAGGAUCCGAGCGUUAUCCGGAUUUAUUGGGUUUAAAGGGAGCGUAGGUGGAUUGUUAAGUCAGUUGUGAAAGUUUGCGGCUCAACCGUAAAAUUGCAGUUGAAACUGGGAGUCUUGAGUACAGUAGAGGUGGGCGGAAUUCGUGGUGUAGCGGUGAAAUGCUUAGAUAUCACGAAGAACUCCGAUUGCGAAGGCAGCUCACUAGACUGUCACUGACACUGAUGCUCGAAAGUGUGGGUAUCAAACAGGAUUAGAUACCCUGGUAGUCCACACAGUAAACGAUGAAUACUCGCUGUUUGCGAUAUACAGUAAGCGGCCAAGCGAAAGCAUUAAGUAUUCCACCUGGGGAGUACGCCGGCAACGGUGAAACUCAAAGGAAUUGACGGGGGCCCGCACAAGCGGAGGAACAUGUGGUUUAAUUCGAUGAUACGCGAGGAACCUUACCCGGGCUUAAAUUGCAACAGAAUAUAUUGGAAACAGUAUAGCCGUAAGGCUGUUGUGAAGGUGCUGCAUGGUUGUCGUCAGCUCGUGCCGUGAGGUGUCGGCUUAAGUGCCAUAACGAGCGCAACCCUUAUCUUUAGUUACUAACAGGUUAUGCUGAGGACUCUAGAGAGACUGCCGUCGUAAGAUGUGAGGAAGGUGGGGAUGACGUCAAAUCAGCACGGCCCUUACGUCCGGGGCUACACACGUGUUACAAUGGGGGGUACAGAAGGCGGCUACCUGGUGACAGGAUGCUAAUCCCAAAAACCUCUCUCAGUUCGGAUCGAAGUCUGCAACCCGACUUCGUGAAGCUGGAUUCGCUAGUAAUCGCGCAUCAGCCAUGGCGCGGUGAAUACGUUCCCGGGCCUUGUACACACCGCCCGUCAAGCCAUGAAAGCCGAGGGUACCUGAAGUACGUAACCGCAAGGAGCGUCCUAGGGUAAAACU